rnacentral:lncRNA from 1 species
CCUUUGCCAUGCUGCUGUAAGGUCCUAAAGUAGAUAAAACCUAAGUUGCAAUUCCGGUUUUCCUCAAAAUCUAAGACAUGUCACAAAAUAAUUUACUGCCUUUGUUGAUCUCGCUCCUGUAACAAGCUUCCUGCCUCACGUAUCUCCCGCCUUAAAGAGUUUAAAAGGCAAUCACCCAAAACCAACCGUGGCUACCCAUUCAAGACUGUUUCCACACUGUGGAAGCUUUGUACUUUCACUCUGCUCAAUAAAGCCUGCAGCUUUUUCUCACUCUCAGUCCAUGUCUCUUUCACUCACUGUGGUCAGCUUCCACACCAUUUCUUUGGUGUGGCUUGGCAAGAACCUCAGGUGUUACAUCUUGGCGAGCCAGACAGGAGACUCCAGAAAAGGUAUCUAGAUCAUCAUGCAGGGUGAUUUUCCUGUACCAGUCCAAUGCCUCCAGAGGAAGAUCAUACAUUUGCCAUUUUACUGCUUAGUACGCAUGCUUGAGCCUGCUCGCCCAACUGCUGAGAUCUUAUUCAGAAACUGCUGAUCACCAACUCCAGGUGUUUUUAUUACACAAGACAAAAACGGAAAAACAGUAACAAAUGAUUGGUUAAGCCUUUCAAAACAAAGAAGUGUAUGUGCUACAGUAUAUUUAGACCUAUUAUUCUUAAUCUUCUAAGUGGAACAUAAAAUCUUAAUGUCUAAUACAAAAAUACUAAGAAUAUUGAAGGUCACUGGAAUAGGUUCAUUACACUCAAGCAAAGGCCUGGGGAAAUGAUAGAAUUACCUCUGUUGACCCAGAAGAGCACCAAAAGCACCAGUGUGCAGAAAUCAGAGACCUCAAGCUAAAAGUCAUAAAAGGACAAGAACCUGGAAGUCGUCGAACUGUGGAAGCAAAAGACCUGUAAUGCUCCUGCUUGCCGAGCUGUGAGCAGUGGUAGUAAAAGAGCAGUAACAUUCUCUCCUGCUUGCCAAACAGGAGAGAAGCCACUGGCACCACUCCCUCCCACUCACUGAACUAUAGAAGAGAAAAAAUUGAAACACCAAAAUUGGGGAAAUGCGACUUUUGCGAAAAUUUGAAAGUGCAUGCUUCACAGAAGGAAGGGGGAGCUGGUCUAUUAUGUCUCACUAUAACAAGACUAAAAUUUUGCAAAUAAAUUGUUCCUGCCAUAAUUUAUCCUUGGUAGAAAUGAAGAAAUUGGAGAGAGAAAAAAUUGGAUUCUAGGUCCUGACCAUUGUUUUUGAAUUUUUAUUAUUUUCCUACAAUUUAGGCUAAAUUCUGAACUAUUUGCUGGCUACAAGAGGCCUCUAAAAAAGAGCUGGGUUUUAGUUUUCUUCAUGCUCUUUAAAAACUGGCAUAUAAUGGUGUGUAUCUCUCGUUGUUUUACUUCUAAGAAACUGAAGGCAUGAUAUUCUGAAGACUAGAGGUGAUUCAAUAGCCUAUGAAUCUUCUUCAUUUGGAACCCCACUGGGCCUGAUCUGUUUCCCAUCACCAAUGCACUUCUGCUAAACCUAUAUCCUAUCAAGUACUCUCCCUAAAUGCUCAGAGACCAUAACAGAAGAUGAGGGUGUGUGAGAUUAUAAAAGCCAAAUUAGUGGAGUGGAAUCUGGAGGCUAAAGCAACUCCAUCUUGGAUGCUAAUCUGCCAUGUUGGCUUCUGAUUAACCCCAGUUCUGGAGGGCCUCUGAGGUUUCCAAUUUAUCUACUGUCCCUUGUGUAAGAACAAGUACUUAUCAUAAAUCCUGCUAUUAGGGCAAAUUUCUACCCAUUCCCUCUGAAGCAUGUGCACCUCUCCUCUACAUGUAAUCUCCCCUACAAUAGAUAAACCCCUCUGGGUCUGGGGGCUAAUAGUGUGGGAACCCAUCAUCUUGCCUCACUGCUGCACAAGCCACAGGUGUGGCUUCUGUUUCUAAGUCCCUAUUAAAUGUUUCUAGAUACCAGAUGUAUCAACCUCUUUCUUCAGCCUCUCAGCUUCCUGGGACUUUGGGGUUGGUUUGCAUAGACCUACCCACCAAAAAACUCUCACAGAGUCAGUCUUAAAUACAUACAGAGCACGGUUGGGAAAAUUCCAUGAAUAUUUAUAGGGGAAGUCAUGUGCUUGAAAAUUGGAUAAACUUGUAUGUAACAUACAUUCCAUUUUGACCUGGGGGUGAGGUUUCAGCUGGGAUUCGACUGUUUAUGUCAAAAGGUAAACUCUAGGGCAAAAAGAAUUUGGACAUAGUCUCUGCAAGCUGACUGAAACUGGCUUAAGAUCUAUGGUCACUUAUCAAUAAAGAAUGUGAUAAAAAC